CGAAAACUGGAAUAUGCCAGGUGCUUGCAUCUUGAUUUAAUUUUGAACGAGUGGCGGACGGGUGAGUAACACGUGGGUAACCUGCCCUUAAGUGGGGGAUAACAUUUGGAAACAGAUGCUAAUACCGCAUAAAUCCAAGAACCGCAUGGUUCUUGGCUGAAAGAUGGCGUAAGCUAUCGCUUUUGGAUGGACCCGCGGCGUAUUAGCUAGUUGGUGAGGUAACGGCUCACCAAGGCAAUGAUACGUAGCCGAACUGAGAGGUUGAUCGGCCACAUUGGGACUGAGACACGGCCCAAACUCCUACGGGAGGCAGCAGUAGGGAAUCUUCCACAAUGGACGCAAGUCUGAUGGAGCAACGCCGCGUGAGUGAAGAAGGCUUUCGGGUCGUAAAACUCUGUUGUUGGAGAAGAUGGUCGGCAGAGUAACUGUUGUCGGC
rnacentral:rRNA from 1 species